GCGGACGGGUGAGUAACACGUGGGUAACCUGCCCUAAAGUGGGGGAUAACAUUUGGAAACAGAUGCUAAUACCGCAUAAAACCUAACACCGCAUGGUGUAGGGUUGAGAGAUGGUUUCGGCUAUCACUUUAGGAUGGACCCGCGGUGCAUUAGUUAGUUGGUGAGGUAAAGGCUCACCAAGACCGUGAUGCAUAGCCGACCUGAGAGGGUAAUCGGCCACACUGGGACUGAGACACGGCCCAGACUCCUACGGGAGGCAGCAGUAGGGAAUCUUCCACAAUGGACGAAAGUCUGAUGGAGCAACGCCGCGUGAGUGAAGAAGGUUUUCGGAUCGUAAAACUCUGUUGUUGGAGAAGAAUGUAUCUGAUAGUAACUGAUCAGGUAGUGACGGUAUCCAACCAGAAAGCCACGGCUAACUACGUGCCAGCAGCCGCGGUAAUACGUAGGUGGCAAGCGUUGUCCGGAUUUAUUGGGCGUAAAGCGAGCGCAGGCGGUUUCUUAAGUCUGAUGUGAAAGCCUUCGGCUCAACCGAAGAAGUGCAUCGGAAACUGGGAAACUUGAGUGCAGAAGAGGACAGUGGAACUCCAUGUGUAGCGGUGAAUGUGUAGAUAUAUGGAAGAACACCAGUGGCGAAGGCGGCUGUCUGGUCUGUAACUGACGCUGAGG
rnacentral:rRNA from 1 species